UACGGACAUAUCUCGUUGAAACAUCGGUUCCAGUAUGAUCACCGAAGUUAAGAAACGUCGAGACGGGUCAGUACCUAGACGGGUGACUUCUUGGGAAUACCAAGUGCUA